rnacentral:tmRNA from 1 species
GGGCGCGAAAGGAUUUCGACAGAAGUACUGAUCCAAAAAUCUCAUGCAGUGUUUUACCAUUAUUGACACUUCAAAAUAAAUUUGGUAGUGAUUUUCACUAGCAUACAUAAAUGCAAACAUCAAAACACAAUUUGCUCAAUUUGCAAAAAAUGUAAAAAGUGCCCUAUAUUAUAGUGGCUUACUAAAUUUUGCAUAAUAAUUGAGCGAAGAAAUGCCAUGCAUUUCCAUAGAAUUAAUUCCUUGAUGGUGGAGAAUUGAUCUAUGUUUCAAAAACACCAUAUGUAAUAUCUCUGUUUUUUAUAUGCUCAGAGGUACAAAACUAUGAAGCAUAUACUAUUUGAAAUACUUUUAUAGAUUGACAUUCAAAUAGAAACUAAAUCUAUAAAAGCAUGUUAUAAAGAUUUAGGAAACGACUUUUGGAAGCGAGUUCGAAUCUCGCCGCGUCCACCA